rnacentral:lncRNA from 1 species
UACAGUGCGUCACUUACUCCAGUAAACUUUUCCUCAUCAAUCGUCUUUUUUUUUUUUUUUUUAACGAUUCAUCGUUUAAUUAUUAAAGACAGUAUUUAUUUAACGAACAAGCAAGUUUUGUCAACAAAAUUCCGAAAUGUCAACGCGGAUACUGUUAACGGGCUUUAAACCGGAGUAAGCGAAGAGAUAAAGGAUUUGUUUUAUUAUUGUCCGCGAACGAAGAUGAUGAUGAAUGAAUGGUCUCUUUAAACGAAAUUACGAUCCUGUAUGUAACUAUAAUAAAUCUCAUUACUCCGUAAACAGAUUACCUUACACUUGAAAGAUGUCGUUUAGAUUCGCUCGUACGCUUUAAAUUGUUUAAACGUAGCGAAUAUAAAAUUAGUAAGUGCCUCAUUAGUAAUGGCUUAAGUUUAUUUGUUGUUUCGACUGUUAAAAAAGAAAAAAAGUUAUUAAGAGCUUAAACGUCAGAAUAAAUCUAAAUAUAUUAAGGGAGCAAAUAACAGAUUUUAAUCGCGCGCGCGUCGCCGUUAAAUAUCCAUCGCGGCGCGCGGUGCGAAUUACGUCUUUUCGAACAAGUCGACUGUACGAAAAUGUGAUUAGCGAUGACUCCUGUUGAACAGUGAACAGUAGAGUUUUUCCAUUCGACCUAUUGGAAUGUCAUUGAGCUUCUUUAUAUUGCCAACACGAGCGAUCUUCAAAAAGAAGAAUCUUUAUUGUAGCCCGAGGGGAAACUUGGUCAUUAUAUUGGAUACAAAAUAAAAUGCCAUUGUCUAUCGGAGUUUCCCUGCACUCUCUUUGAAAAGAGAUGAUUAGCAGGGAUAAUAAAGGAUCGUUUCUCUAUCACUAUCUCUCUCUAUCGAAAAACUAUUCGUUUAGAACUCUUUUUUUUUUCUCCUUCUGGUUUUUGCUGAUUUUAGUCGUGCCGGCCAUUAAACGAUCGGAUUCUUAUAAACGAGCUCGGAGGUCAAGAUAAAAUUUUUAGAUUAAUGAAAAUUUUUAAAAUUAUAAAGUUAAAAAAUACCAAAAGGACAAUGCACCCUUCUAUUAAGUAUGAGUAUAACCUUUUCCCUGGUUGAUGAUUAUUGAUGGCGGCUGGAAAAACCUGUUAACAUCUAAAUUUAAAUAAGUAGUCAAAGCUAAACGAAAAUUCGUAAUUUAAAAAAAAAGAGUGAAAAUAUGCGUGUUGGUAACAUUAUAUUUAUCGUAAAACGUCGAGUUUACAUCCGUUCAGCGUGUAAAUGGAAAGAGCGAUUGUUUCGCUUAAGUGCACACAAUUAGGCAGAUAUAACCGAGUUAAUGAAGGUUUUACGGAGAAAAAUGAGACAAAAAAAUAAAAAAAAUAACACAGCCGCAAGCUAUUAUAUAAAUGCAUUGACAAUCCUGUUAAAUCUGCCAAUAAAAGGGGCAAUAAAUUUUGAAAAAAUAACUCUGCUCAUAAAAUUAUACAUAGAUUGAUAGAUUUUAUCGUUGGCAUCGGAUUUUUUUUAUCCACCUUAUCGGAAAUGCCUACAAUGAAGACAGUACAGAAGUGAAGGAUUUUAAUUAAUAUUACGACGGGAUUUAAUGAAUUAAUCAAAGAAAUGACGAAUGAGAGUUAAAGAAACAAUUUAACAGUUUGUAGAAAAAUAUAUAUACAUGUUUUGAGAUCGUGUACGAUUUCUUAAAUCUCGAAAAGAAGUUCAGAAACGCGAAUAGAAUGUAAUUACGUGACCUACAGUAACCUCGUCGGUAUAUAAGAUGGCGCCGACAGAAUGAUGAGACCUCGCAAACUAACACGCAGUGUGACUCCAUUUUUACAGUGACGAAACGCCUCAUUACAUAAUAAUCGCUAUUAACGCUGUAUAUAAUAACUAUAUAUAUUUUUUACUAAAUCUUAAUUUCGGUAAUAGUUUUUUUUUGUGUGUGUUAUUUUUCCGAUUAAUCCGUUGAUAAACUGAUUAUUCGCACCGAGACGUUUCGCCGAUAUUUGGUAAUUCAGCAACAGUCGCACAAGUCAUUCGUCUUAAAUGACAAAGGCAAUCCGUGUUUUGGAUGAAUGAUUAUUGAUAAGUUGAGGACAACCUUUAGAAUAACCACUCCCUGGCCGAAUAAAUCAUUGUCUGACAAUAAAACUAUUUUGUUUGUAUGUGACGUGUUCUACAUACGGCAAGAAGAAAAAUAUUUUUUAAUAUAUCGCUGUAUGAAAUUUUUACUUUGUCACCCGAUGACUCACCGAAUCGGAACGUCGAGUAUGUCUUAAUCGCCGAUUAUUCCUAUUGAUACAUCAAAAAUACUGUACGUAAUUAUCACUUUUAAAGCAUAAACUAGUUCACUUAUAACUUUACCUAGCCGACAUCUUAAGCAAUUAAAUCUUUAUUAUGGAGUUUUGUACGGGGAUUUGCAUAUUUUAGCUAACAUUGUGUUGUUGUUUAAACAGUGAUAACAGUAAAAUCACGCUUUCGGUGUACCAAAACACACGCGUGAAGAAUGAAGCGAUUAAUAGGGACGAACGUCUCUCUUUUCUUCUGGCAGGGGAGAUAAUGAAACAUAAUCGAGUCGGGAGUCAAUUAAUUUGCAUUUUAUACGUUUUAAGAAACAAUUAAUUUAGCGGGCGUAACUGUGCAAUUAACUUUAUUGGGUUUAAAGAUGCACAAUAACUGACAUGACGUGGCAUCCUUUCAUCCGGUAAUGAUCGUAAAAGAGUUUCACGAGGCCACAUCCUCGUUGCGACUUGUUCUCGGUGUAUGCAUGACAAACAAACCAGACCGGGUGCUCAAAAGUUCACCCAGAGCUCACGUUUUUGCAGAGAGUUAAGAAAAGUACUGUACGGGUUGCAAACAAAGAACUCCCACGCUUUCUAAAAAAUAAAAAAAUAAAAAUAAAAAUAAAUCCAGGUCUUGGGAGAUAGUAAUGAUAAUG